AGUGUCCUCAGUUGGCACCCAGAGGAGCUGUUGCAUUCUCCCCUUUAUUGUGGAGAUGGCUGCAGCAGGUGCUCUUGUCCUGGGGGAAGACAGCCAUUGAGAUUGGCAGAGGCUUAAGUAUGAAGUCAAAGGCAACACCUGAUAUCAGAAAGGGCCCAGGCAGCAGUGGGGAAGUCCUCAGCUGGAUCUUUGAGCCUUGGACGGAAUCAGCAGCAGGGGCUACUCUGAGCUUCCUCACAGCCUGGAGGUCUCCGGGGAGUAGACCUGCUUGUAUGGCAACUGAAGACCAAGAGAAAGAGUCCCAUGUGCUACAGACAGAAUGCUCGUGUGCCUCCGAAUUCAUAUGUUGAAACCCUAAUCCCCAAUGUGAUGGUAUUUGAAGAUGGGGAAGUUUGGGAGGUGAUUAGAGGUCAUGAGGGUCGAGCCCACCUGGUGGGAUUUGUGCACUUAUAAGAAGAGACCAGAGAGCCCCAUCUCUGUCUACCCCCUCCCUCCCUCUCUCUCCACCUGUCAUAUCAGGACAUAGCAAGAAGAUGGCCAUCUGCAAACCAGGAAGAGUGUUCUCACCAGACACCUGAUCUGCUAGCACCUUGAUCUUGGACUCCUCAGCCUCCAGAACUGUGAAACAUAAAUGUUCAUUGUUCAAGCCACCCCAUCUAUGGCAAUGUGUAACAGCAGCCCAAACUAACUAAUACACCAUGUUUCUGUACAUCAGCAAUGAAAAAUCCAAAAGGAAAUGAAGAAAAUAAUUCCAUUUACAGUAGUACAUAAAAGAAUAAAAUAUCUAUCAAUAAAUUUAA